rnacentral:rRNA from 1 species
UUGGAGGGCAAGUCUGGUGCCAGCAGCCGCGGUAAUUCCAGCUCCAAUAGCGUAUAUUAAAGUUGUUGCAGUUAAAAAGCUCGUAGUUGAAUUUCGGGAUUGACGUGACGGUCGUGCCUUACGGGGUAUGAACUGUCGCCGUUGAUUUCUCACCUUCUGGAGAAGCUCGAUGUCCUUAAUUGGGUGUCUUGCGGAACCAGGACCUUUACCUUGAAAAAAUUAGAGUGUUUAAAGCAGGCAUUAUUGCUCGAAUACAUUAGCAUGGAAUAAUAGAAUAGGACGGCAUGGUUCUAUUUUGUUGGUUUCUAGGAUCACCGUAAUGAUUAAUAGGGAUAGUUGGGGGCAUUAGUAUUCAAUUGUCAGGGGUGAAAUUCUUGGAUUUAUUGAAGACUAACUACUGCGGAAGCAUUUGCCAAGGAUGUUUUCAUUAAUCAAGAACGAAAGUUAGGGGAUCGAAGACGAUCAGAUACCGUCGUAGUCUUAACCAUAAACUAUGCCGACUAGGAAUCAGACGAUGUUAAUUUUUUAAUGACUCGUUUGGCACCUUACGGGAAAC